rnacentral:rRNA from 1 species
CUUUCCCUCUUUCUUUAGGCCUAACACAUGCAAGUCGAACGGCAGCACAGUAAGAGCUUGCUCUUACGGGUGGCGAGUGGCGGACGGGUGAGGAAUACAUCGGAAUCUACUUUUUCGUGGGGGAUAACGUAGGGAAACUUACGCUAAUACCGCAUACGACCUACGGGUGGAAGCAGGGGAUCUUCGGACCUUGCGCGAUUGAAUGAGCCGAUGUCGGAUUAGCUAGUUGGCGGGGUAAAGGCCCACCAAGGCGACGAUCCGUAGCUGGUCUGAGAGGAUGAUCAGCCACACUGGAACUGAGACACGGUCCAGACUCCGACGGGAGGCAGCAGUGGGGAAUAUUGGACAAUGGGCGCAAGCCUGAUCCAGCCAUACCGCGUGGGUGAAGAAGGCCUUCGGGUUGUAAAGCCCUUUUGUUGGGAAAGAAAAGCAGCAGGUUAAGACCCCGCUGUUCGGACGGGACCCAAAGAAUAAGCACCGGCGAACUUCGU